rnacentral:rRNA from 1 species
UACGUAGGGGGCAAGCGUUAUCCGGAUUUACUGGGUGUAAAGGGAGCGCAGACGGCAGUGCAAGUCUGAUGUGAAAGCCCGGGGCUCAACCCCGGAACUGCAUUGGAAACUGUACAGCUUGAGUGUCGGAGAGGUAAGCGGAAUUCCUAGUGUAGCGGUGAAAUGCGUAGAUAUUAGGAGGAACACCGGUGGCGAAGGCGGCUUACUGGACGAUAACUGACGUUGAGGCUCGAAAGCGUGGGGAGCAAACAGGAUUAGAUACCCUGGUAGUCCCU